AUAUAUAUAUAUAUAUAUAUAUAUAUUUGGCUUAAGUAACCUAAAUAUAAAAAUAUUAAUAAAAGAAGUUGUAAUUUUGAAAUUCUCAUGUAACAACCCAAAAAGCUUUAAAAGACAUAUUUCUCAGCUUUAUCCACAAUUUAUUUUUCACUUAACCUUCCUGAGUUCAUAAUUCCUAUGCUUACAUGUAUGUGUACAGGCUUCAUUCAAAUAAAAAAAGCAAAUGUAGCAAUAACAAAAUGUACACCUUGAAAAGUCAUUCAAGAGGCGUAGUAGGUUUUUUCCUUUCCUUCUUUUUUCUUUUGAUGCAUUGAAUUUCAGAUAUAUUGUGAUACAUGAUACUGAAAUUUUCCAAGUUAAAGCCCAAGUUCACUUACAAUGAAGUAUUAUUUUAGAAAAUAAGUAUUUGAAAAAAAUCUCGUACACAUCUUUACAAGGUAGGUUAACCACCACUUUUAAAGGCAGAAAGAAAUGCAUUUGUCUCAACUGCAAAAACCUAAGGUUAGAUAAAGAAUCCAGCAAUAAAGCUGAAAAGCAGAAGGGAUAAAAGGGACAGGGUAUUAUUAAUGCUUAUCACUCCUUAGGUCCAUGCAGUUCAAUGACAGUUUCAAAAGGAUGUGCUGAUAAAGGAUUUGCCUGUCCUUUGACACAGUGUGCAGUGGUUCCAGUAAGCCUCUUGUGGAAUGAAGAAAGCCAAGACAUUUUUGAAGCUUGAAUAGAAGAGUGACAGCUCUGAACCCAAGUGGCAUCCUUUCCCUCAGGCUUUUGUGAUAUAUAUAUAUACCUUUUUCUUUUCCAGUGCUAGUGCUAAUACCAAAGCUGUAACUAAAAUUAUUGCCUCGUUCCUGGAAAUUUUUAUGAACACAUGUAGCAAAACCCUAAAUGUUCAGGAAAAUAUCAUUGUUGAACUUUAUUGCAGAUGCAAAAUUCAUUGCAUCUUCCUAGACUAUAUCACUGAAAAAACCACUGUGUGAGUGACAAUGAAAAAAAUACGUCAAAAAUAUCAAAUAUAUGGAUUUAUGUAUUCUAUCACACAUACAUUUCUAAAAAGUUAAAGAUAAUAAACUCCAGCUAAAUGUUUAGAUCAUCAACUUGAGUAUAUAUGACCUACUGGACAAAAAAUGAAAUAAUUGUUUAAAGUUGAAUCAAUAUUUUGCUCAUUUGAUUUAUAUGAUAAUGAAUAGAUUUAUGUAGUUAACACUAAGUGUCUUUUACAUAGUCUCUAAACCUUCAUACUGAUAGAAUAAAAGACCUGAAAGUAUAUCAAAUUAAGAGUUUUAAAAAGGUAUUUGUGUGGGUGCAGUGGCACACACCUGUAAUUACACCAGUAUGGGAUGCUGAGACAGGAGGAUCACAAGUUUAAGGCCAGCAUCAGCAAUUUAGUGAGACACUUUCUCAAAAUAAAAAGGGCUGGGAAUGUUGCUCAGUGGUAAAUUGCCCCUGGGAUUAAUCUGCAGUACAUCCCUCCCUCCAAAGAAAAAGGUAUUUGCCUUUUUAUAGCUGGCCUUUUUCACUUGGUAUUUUAUCAAAGUUCAUUCAUGUUACAGCAUUUAUAUUAUUAUUAUUUUUAAGUCUGAAUAUUAUUUCAAUGUAUAUAUAUAUGUGUGUACCAUGUUUUAUUUAUCGAUUUAUAUGUCCGUGGACAUUUGGGUGGUUUUCACCUUUUCACUAUUGUGAAGAAUAAUUCUGUGAACAUUGGUGUACAUCUGUGCCUGAAUCCCCGUGUAUAAUUCUUUCAAAAUAAGAAUGAUAGGAGUAAAGUUGCUGGAUUUUAUGGUAACAUUAACUUUGAGGAUCUGUCACACUGUUUUCCAUAGUGACUGUAACAUUUUGUGUUAGCAUUAGCAAAGUAAAAGGAUUACAAUUUAUCCCAUAUUCUCAUCAAAUUUUCUAAUUUCCACUUUUAAAAAUAACCAUCCUAGUGGGCAUGAAGUGAUUCUUCAUUGUGGUUUGAUGUUCAUUUCUCUAAGGUCCAGAGAUGUUUAAUAUCUUCCCCUGUGCUUAUCAACCAUUUGUAUAUCUUUCUUUGGGGAAAUGCCUGUUCAAGUCAUUUUCCCAUUUUAAAAUAUUUGUUGUUGUUGAAUAAUAAAAGUUCUUUAUAUAUUAUAGAUAUUAAUACUUUACUAUAUUUUAUUUGAAAAUAAUUUUUUCUAUUCUGUGAUUUUUCUACAUGUGUAUAUUUUAAUCAUAAUAAUUUUCUUAUAUUUGGAUAUGGCUCCUUUGUUCUAGAAAUGCAUUAUAAACAUUAUAGGUUACAAUCAUCCAUUAUCUUUCCUUUUAUCUUUUUAUAUCUCUGGUUUCUGUUGAUUGGCAAGCAUACUUACUAUUCCUGGGGUGCAAAACUUGAAUAUAACAAAAGUACAUUUUUAUAGUUGGUUCAUUUUAUUUCAGAGACUGUUUACCUAUCUUGUGGCGUGGAGGCAGAUUAAUACAAUAGGGAUCUUUG
rnacentral:lncRNA from 1 species